GACGGAAGGUGCAAGCGUUGCUCGGAAUCACUGGGCGUAAAGGGUGCGUAGGCGGCGGAGUAAGUUGGGUGUGAAAUCCCGGGGCUCAACCUCGGAAUGGCAUUCAAUACUGCUUCGCUAGAGUACUGGAGAGGAGGCUGGAAUUUACGGUGUAGCAGUGAAAUGCGUAGAUAUCGUAAGGAAGGCCGGUGGCGAAAGCGAGCCUCUGGACAGUUACUGACGCUGAUGCACGAAGGCCAGGGGAGCAAACGGG
rnacentral:rRNA from 1 species